AAGCGAAAUGUAGAUGCACUCUAAAGUGUUCCUGAGUAGGUUGAGAGACGGCAAACUCUCUUCUGAAGCUGGGGUGACCACACUCCAAGGCUAAAUACCGUGAUAAGACCGAUAGUGAACGAGUACCGUGAGGGAAAGGUGAAAAGAAGGGUGGAAGACCCCGUGAAAUAGUACCUGAAACCAUCUGCUAACAAUCAGUGAGCGCCUCUGUCCGCAAGGAUUGGGGUUAUCACGUGCCUAUUGAAGAAUGAGCCGGCGAGUAUUUGUACAUCCGCUUAGGUUAAGGCGCGACGCGCCGAAGCCGUAGUGAAAGCGAGCCUGAAUAGGGCGAUCUUUUGUGGAGUAUGAAUGACCCGAAACCAGGUGAGCUAACCAUGACCAGGAUGAAGUUUCGGUAAUACGAAAUGGAGGUCCGAACCGGUGUCCGCUGCAAGGGGCUCGGAUGAGUUGUGGUUAGGGGUAAUAUGCCAAUCGAACCUGGAGAUAGCUGGUUCUCCCUGAAACAUGUUUUGGCAUGGGGUUAUAGCGACGCAUAUGGGGGUAGAGCUCUGAUCGGGCGUAUCUGACGAAAGUCAGAGCGUCUAGUCAAACUUCAAAUACCAUAUGCCAUUCUAUGGCACUCAGCAUCCGGGAGCUAAGUUCCGGAAACAAAAGGACAAAAAUCCAGACUUACAGCUAAGGUCUCAAAGUUAGUACUCAGUGGAUAAGGAAGUGUGAUUUCUCAGACACCUAGGAGGUCGGCUCAGAAGCAGCCAUCCUUUAAAGAAAGCGUAACAGCUCACUAGCCGUAGAAAUCAUGCGCCGAAAAUGUAUCGAGGCUUAAGUACUACACCGAAGCUUAAGAUUUGUGACUGUUUUUACAGUUGCAAGUGGUAAGGGAGCGCUCUAGGUGCUGUGAAGGUGGACCGUAAGGUAACCGCUGGAGCGACUAGAGGUGAGAAUGCCGGCAUGAGUAGCGAAAUUAAAGUGAGAAUCUUUAACUCCGUAUGACCAAGGUUUCCGCACCCACGUUCGUCGUGUGCGGGUUAGGCGACCCUAAGGUGAGCCCCGUAUAUUGCGGGGGUAGCCGAUGGAUUACAGGUUAAUAUUCCUGUCCUUGUGGCCUAUCGUUUGACUUGGGGAGGGACGGUAUUGGAUAGUGUGUUCGUCGUUGUGAAGAUGACGUCUAAGCAGUGAGGCAGUUUGAGUAGGCAAAUCCGCUCAAACGUUUACACGAGCUGUAACGGGUUUCUGAACCUUCGGGGGAGGAAAUACACAUGAUUUCAGUAUCCUGGAAAAGCUUCGCAAGGAGAUAAGUCACAAAUCGUACCGAUAACCGACACAGGUGGUCCGGUCGAGUAGACUAAGGAGAGCGGGAGAAACUAGUUUAAGGAAUUCGGCAAAUCAACUGGGCGUAAUUUCGAGAGAUGCCCUUCCCGAUGCAAAUCGGGACUCAGUUAAUGAUAUGGGAUGGACUGUUUACCACAAACACAGGUCCGUGCAAACUCGUAAGAGAAGGUAUACGGGCUGAAGCCUGCCCAGUGCCGGAAGGUUAAUUGCGAGGGUCCUUCAGAAGCUUGCUUCUGAUGCGGCCUUCAAUCGAAGCCCCGGUGAACGGCAGCAGUAACUAUAACUGUUCUAUGGUAGCGAAGUUCCUUGUCGCUUAAUUGGCGACCCGCAUGAAUGGUGUAACCAGUCCCAUGCUGUCUUGAACUAGUACCCGGCGAAAUUGAAAUGGCUGUGAAGAUGCGGCCUACUGGCGGCAGGACAAAAAGACCCCGUGGAGCUUUACUGUACCUUGACACUGAAAUUUAUGUUUCGACUGUGUAGCAUAGGAGGGAGCCGCAAGGCGAUCGUGUAA
rnacentral:rRNA from 1 species